AUUGAACGCUGGCGGCAGGCCUAACACAUGCAAGUCGAGCGGCAGCGGGAAAGUAGCUUGCUACUUUUGCCGGCGAGCGGCGGACGGGUGAGUAAUGCCUGGGAAAUUGCCCAGUCGAGGGGGAUAACAGUUGGAAACGACUGCUAAUACCGCAUACGCCCUACGGGGGAAAGCAGGGGACCUUCGGGCCUUGCGCGAUUGGAUAUGCCCAGGUGGGAUUAGCUAGUUGGUGAGGUAAUGGCUCACCAAGGCGACGAUCCCUAGCUGGUCUGAGAGGAUGAUCAGCCACACUGGAACUGGGACACGGUCCAGGCUCCUACGGGAGGCAGCAGUGGGGAAUAUUGCACCAUGGGGGAAACCCUGAUGCAGCCAUGCCGCGUGUGUGAAGAAGGCCUUCGGGUUGUAAAGCACUUUCAGCGAGGAGGAAAGGUUGAUGCCUAAUACGUAUCAACUGUGACGUUACUCGCAGAAGAAGCACCGGCUAACUCCGUGCCAGCCGCCGCAGUAAAAC
rnacentral:rRNA from 1 species